rnacentral:rRNA from 1 species
GAUUGGGCACUAUGGUUGCUUGUCAGCCUUGUUUGCACUGAAAAGACGACCGAGCUUGAUCAUUUAGAGGAAGUAAAAGUCGUAACAAGGUUUCCGUAGGUGAACCUUCGGAAGGAUCA